AAUAAGAAGGUGGGGGGACUGAAGACGGCGGCAAACAGUUUACAAGCGAGGUGGAAGGAUAAAGGCACAUAUACAACUUCCACUCACUUCAGUGUGGCAAAUCCUUUGAAUUACAAGACUGGGUGACUCAAAGAGCUUGUUUUCACUU